UAUUUUUUCUAGACCCUAGUUUUCUACAGCCAAUCAUCGAGGAGCAAUAAUGCAGCCGCUUUGAUUCCCAUGAACAGUAAAAUAGUGGGUAGGAUGGGAAAAGAACAAAGGCAGACAAAUAGGAAGGCGAUGUCUUUAAAGCAGAGUGCAGAAACCCAAAUUCCUCCCCCCUUCCCCUUCCUCCUCCUCCUCCUCCCCAAUCCUCACUCUCCGUUCGUCGGUCGAUCGAUCGAGAUGGUGCAUCCGCCCGAGCCAAUCGGCCGGAGGUGGUGGGAUCGCGACCGCGGCCGAGUCGGCCUCGGCAUCGCCGUGGCCCUCGACCACGACGACGCCGGACCCAGCCCCAGGAAGCUCCACGCCGCGGCGCCGAUGAUGAUCUGUUCGCCGAGAGUGAGAUGUGGAUCCUCCGCUCCGACCGGCCGCGCUGGGUUUACUGUGGGGUUCUGCGGUGGAGCGAGGGCUCGAGUCGGCGACUCGCCGGCGGGAGGAGUCUAGCGCUGCUGACUUCCUCAGCGAUUGCUACGUGUGCAGGAAGAAGCUCCACGGCGAAGAUAUCUUCAUGUACAGAGAGAAGGCGUUCUGUAGCAUGGAGUGUCGUUACAAGAAGAUGGUGGCCGACGAGUACCAGGAGCAACACGUCUCAAAAGCCCGCAAACGAUCGACGGAGAUCGCCAGCUCCCCCUGCUCCGGCGGCCAACUCUUCUUCACCGGCAUCGUCGUCACAUAAUUACAUACGCAAAAACUGGCAGAAAUCAUACCCAGGCGGCGAGAUCGGGCAUCACUUGAUGCGUCGAUAGAUAUGAACUUUUCAAUUUUGAAUUAGAUUAAUGUUUUGGGAGUUUCAAAAGGAAACUACAAUCAAACGAGAAGUCUAAAUUUCCCCCAAAUUGAGACUGUAAUAUCUUCCUCCACCUGUAAUUGUUUUUCCCCCAAAGAGUGGCUUUAAAUUGUAUUGAAUAACAUCUUGAAGUAGGCAAAGUAGCUGCAGAAGAGUUCAUA